CUUUAUACUCAUGCUUUAAAAUUUGUAAUCCACUGAUAUGAUGUUGCAUCUACUGGAUGAUCUUUGAACUCUUUCUGUUCAUUGCUGAGGAGUGAGGGUCUGGCCUUAUGUUUUAUUUGGGUUUCACAUUAGCAUGGGCGUAUAGAGACCAGUGUUCCAAAAAUAUUUUAGUUCUUGCGAUGUGUGUAUGUGCUGCCCUUGCAUGAAGUAUCCUAUCCCACUGAUGGUCUUUCUUUCUUGAAUGUGAUCGUGAAGUUGAUAUGCAAGGAGCUUGUUUAUUGGGCUUGGAUGGAGCUAAACUGAAUUAAAUAUUAGAUCAUUUGUUCACUAAUAAAUUGAGUCAAAUGAAGCUCCAUAAUGUGAUCAGCUCAAUUCCAACGUUAUGCACUGUUUGGUUCAACCUUUUGCCUUCCAAAUAGUACUUCUAAGUUCUAACAAAUUUUUAUUUUGCUAUAAAGUGAAGGUAAUAACUAAUAACAAUGCAUAUCCGGUAAAAUAUAUAAGUUUUGUUCAACAUGACUGAGGAAAGUAAAAUGGAAAUUGUCUUUUGCUGUCCAACCAAAAAAACUUUUUGAUUCUUAAAAUAUCAAAAAGAGAAAUUUUAGCAAGUUAAUCAAAAAGGGUUAUAUUAUGCAUGGAAGUAAGUUAGAGGUUGAGGGGUGGUUGUGAAUGGAGUUCAACCUUGUUUGAUAUGUUCUUUUAGGAUGUAAUGGAAUGUUAUUUACAUUUAAUAGCCUCAUAAUAUCCAUUUUUUGUUGACUCCUAAAGCAGGGGGUUAAAGGCUAUGAUAAAAAGUUUUCAAGUAGUCUACACCCAUUUAACUUUUUGCUCUUCUAAAAUUACUAAACAAAGUGAAGAUAAUUGGCAUUGUUGUACAUUCAUUAACUUCCUUCCUUAUUGCACUUAAAAUUCUCAUGCAAUGCAUUAGUGUUUGUUUAGCACUCUUUGGUGGAGCCAAAUCUCAAACUAUAGUGCACAUGUUUGGAGCAUAAUGAUUCUACUAAUAUAAUUCAACAAGAUGAAAUCAAGUUGGGCAGCUUUGAGUGACCCAACAGGUUGACUUUUGAAAUAACAGUCAAAUAAUGUCAAUGCCAUACCAUUGAUAUCACAUCAAUGUCCAAAGCCUAAUAUAAAGCAUAUACUAGGUAUUUUCCUGUUAAUGGAGAAGUCUUUUGAUGACUGAGAGUACUAUGGGCAGUAUUGUGGUUUUAAUUGUAUUAAAUAAAACAAUAAGGGAGAACUUUUGAUCAAAAUAACAAUAUCAUAAUCCAUUAUGCCAUUUCUUGAGAAUGAUGAUAGUUGCUAGAAGCAGAGAACUUUACAAUUUAAUAAGUCCUUAAUUUGUAGCUUUGUCUACCCUUUUACAUCUUUUCCUGGAAAUCAACUCUUAUUUUAGCUACUGCCAAAAUCCGGAUAUUUUUGCCUUCUAGUUGCUCCAUGUGGUAAUUGUGGGAUGCUUUUGUCACAGUGGCUGAAUGUUCUCUCAUCCCAUAUGCUUCCAGGAUAUCAGUGGUUGCAAUUGUAGCUUUUAGUUUAAACUGUAUUUUGCUUUCAGUUUUCUGAUCUGUUACAGAUGACUUUCAUCUUCUCUGAUUGAUUUUAGAAACUGGAUUAGUUUUCCAGGUAUUCUUACUUCUGCUACUUUAUGCCACUUACAGAUGGAUAAUCGACCCACCUUUGG
rnacentral:misc_RNA from 1 species